GGGAGCUGGCCGACCUCGGUGACCCGGGGCGGGGGUGUAUCUGCGCGCAGCUGCCCAAACCGCCUCCCGCCCCGGGGCUUUCUCCCGGAGCCGCCACCCCCACCCCGGGCAGGAAAGGGGAGGAGGCAGGAAGGGGAAGAAGCCCCUUCCCUGGCACCUGGCCCUGGCAGCUUGGCGUCGCCCUUGACUACCCUCCAGUGACUGUUCUGUAAUUCCUUGGACCUGGUCUCCUGAUGGCACUUUUUGCAGAAUGUGGAGGACAGGGUGGCUGCCACUCUGAAAGGCCCUCUCUACCCCUGCACAUCAGCUUAGGGGCAAGCUCUGCAAUCAAUGCUUCCAGCACCCAAUGAUGGCCCACAGAUAUUUACUUAUUUUUUCAUGAGAGACACAGAAGGCACAGACAGAAGCAGGCCUCCCGCAGAGAGCCCAAUGCAGGACUCGAUCCUAGGACCCUGGGAUCACACCCUGAGCCAAAGGCAAACGCUCAACCACUCAGCCACCCAGGAAUCUCAUCCAUUUACUUUCAGCCUACUCACAUCUUGAUACUUCACUUAUAUCUCCAAGCACACUCUCCAUUCAAACAGACGGCAUCAUUUGAACUGAGAGAAAGACACACACCCUGACUGAGCUCAGAAAUAGCCUGAACGUUGGAGUUGGAGUCUGAGUCUAUCCCAGCUUCACUGCUUGGUGUCAGUUGCUUCUGGACCAAUCACUUAGCACCUCUGAAGUUCAACUCCCUUAUCUGUAAAAUGGAUAAUUGACACCCACAUCUUUGUAUUGUUUUGAGCUAAUGUACAUGGUAUGAAGGUGUUACCCAAAUGGUAGCUAUGUCAACUAUGUAUGAUGCAAUCUGAUGUUUCUUUAAAAUUAGACAUCAUUUUUUAUUAUAAAAGACAAAGUAAUUCAUACUUAUGGUAAAGAAUAAAAAGUAACAACCCUCUGCUCCCAAAAGAACCCAGUCCUACUUCCUGGACGUAGCUGUCGUCAGCAGUCUCUUCUGUAAGAUUCCACAAAUAUUCCAUGCAUUUGAAAGUCUAUACCCAUUUAUUACACAAAUAGGCUUGUACAAGUUCACAGUUUCCUUUUUACUAAAUCAUUGUCCCAGGUGACUUCUGCAGGAAGCAGACUCUGAGAUGGACGUCAGUGUGCAGAAUGCUUACUCGGUGGUAGAACUAACCCCUGUGGAAAGGAGGGAAGGAGCAGGAGUGGGCAGGAGAGGUCAAGGUCUCAGACAGCCUUAGCCAGCCCCAGAGAGUUCCGGAGUUACACUCCCCACCCCCACCCCCACUCCACUCCCAAAGAGCCAGCCAGGGAAGGCAGCUCUCUGCAAUUGAGUCAAUCUCUGAAAGGCAUGACA